CAGCCUGAGCCUGUGACUCAGGCCUGGCUGGGAGAGCAGCGGAGCGCUCCAGACACGCUGAAUGGUUUACUGACGGCCCUGUGUUUCCCCGCCAGGCUCCUCCAGGGGAUUUUUACUGGAGCCUCCUUAGGAGAUACUUGUUUGUUCUCUGGAAUUACAAGCUCUAAGAAGUCACGUCACAUCUCGUAGCCACCAAGGUUUCCAGGCUUAUUGAGAGGACAGGAACUCACAGGCUUUCGGAAGAGAUGGAAGAGGAGGUGGUGGACAGGAAUUUCAACGUUCGAACGGAGAGGAGG